rnacentral:rRNA from 1 species
CAGCCCUAAACGAUGCGCGUUAGGUGUAUCGGUGACCACGAGUCACCGAGGUGCCGAAGGGAAACCGUGAAACGUGCCGCCUGGGAAGUACGGUCGCAAGGCUGAAACUUAAAGGAAUUGGCGGGGAGCACCACAACGGGUGGAGCCUGCGGUUUAAUUUGGACUCAACGCCGGGAAGCUCACCGGAUAAGACAGCGGAAUGAUUGCCGGGCUGAAGACCCUGCAUGACCAGCUGAGAGGAGGUGCAUGGCGUAGUCGUGU